rnacentral:rRNA from 1 species
UGCGAGUCGCGCGAGAAAGCCCCUUCGGGGGUGAGUAAAGCGGCGGACGGGUGAGUAACACGUGGAUAACCUACCCCGGGGAUGGGGAUAACCCUGCGAAAGCGGGGCUAAUACCGGAUACGCCGCAUUUUGCCUGGGUGUUAAGUCAUGGAGGCGAUUUGCGGGAAAGGUGGCCUCUGAUGCAAGCCGCCGCCCCGGGAUGGGUUCGCGUCCCAUUAGCUAGUCGGUAGGGUAACGGCCUACCGAGGCGACGAUGGGUAGCCGGCCUGAGAGGGUGAUCGGCCACACUGGGACUGGAACACGGCCCAGACUCCUACGGGAGGCAGCAGUGGGGAAUCUUGGGCAAUGGGCGCAAGCCUGACCCAGCGACGCCGCGUGUGGGAAGAAGGCCUUCGGGUCGUAAACCACUGUCAGGAGGGAAGAAAAGCAGUCGCCGAACAGGCGGCUGUCUUGACGGUACCUCCGGGAGGAAGCACCGGCCAACUCCGUGCCAGCAGCCGCGGUAAUACGGAGGGUGCAAGCGUUAUUCGGAAUCACUGGGCGUAAAGGGCGCGUAGGCGGCUGCGCAAGUCAGAUGUGAAAUCCCUCGGCUUACCCGGGGAACUGCAUCUGAAACUGCGUAGCUAGAGUUCGGGAGAGGGCGGCGGAAUUCCCGGUGUAGGGGUGAAAUCCGUAGAUAUCGGGAAGAACACCAGAGGCGAAGGCGGCCGCCUGGACCGAAACUGACGCUGAGGCGCGAAAGCGUGGGUAGCAAACAGGAUUAGAUACCCUGGUAGUCCACGCUGUAAACGUUGGACGCUAGAUGCC